UGGCGGCAGGCUUACACAUGCAGUCGAGCGGAGUGAUAGUGCUUGCACUAUCACUUAGCGGCGGACGGGUGAGUAAUGCUUAGGAAUCUGCCAUUUAGUGGGGGACAACAUUCCGAAAGGAAUGCUAAUACCGCAUACGUCCUACGGGAGAAAGCAGGGGAUCUUCGGACCUUGCGCUAAAUGAUGAGCCUAAGUCGGAUUAGCUAGUUGGUGGGGUAAAGGCCUACCAAGGCGACGAUCUGUAGCGGGUCUGAGAGGAUGAUCCGCCACACUGGGACUGAGACACGGCCCAGACUCCUACGGGAGGCAGCAGUGGGGAAUAUUGGACAAUGGGCGGAAGCCUGAUCCAGCCAUGCCGCGUGUGUGAAGAAGGCCUUAUGGUUGUAAAGCACUUUAAGCGAGGAGGAGGCUCUCUUAGUUAAUACCUAAGAUGAGUGGACGUUACUCGCAGAAUAAGCACCGGCUAACUCUGUGCCAGCAGCCGCGGUAAUACAGAGGGUGCGAGCGUUAAUCGGAUUUACUGGGCGUAAAGCGUGCGUAGGCGGCUUUUUAAGUCGGAUGUGAAAUCCCCGAGCUUAACUUGGGAAUUGCAUUCGAUACUGGGAAGCUAGAGUAUGGGAGAGGAUGGUAGAAUUCCAGGUGUAGCGGUGAAAUGCGUAGAGAUCUGGAGGAAUACCGAUGGCGAAGGCAGCCAUCUGGCCUAAUACUGACGCUGAGGUACGAAAAGCAUGGGGAGCAAACAGGAUUAGAUACCCUGGUAGUCCAUGCCGUAAACGAUGUCUACUAGCCGUUGGGGCCUUUGAGGCUUUAGUGGCGCAGCUAACGCGAUAAGUAGACCGCCUGGGGAGUACGGUCGCAAGACUAAAACUCAAAUGAAUUGACGGGGGCCCGCACAAGCGGUGGAGCAUGUGGUUUAAUUCGAUGCAACGCGAAGAACCUUACCUGGUCUUGACAUACUAGAAACUUUCCAGAGAUGGAUUGGUGCCUUCGGGAAUCUAGAUACA
rnacentral:rRNA from 1 species